rnacentral:rRNA from 1 species
UGGGGAAUUUUGGACAAUGGGCGAAAGCCUGAUCCAGCAAUGCCGCGUGUGUGAAGAAGGCCUUCGGGUUGUAAAGCACUUUUGUCCGGAAAGAAAUCCUUGGCUCUAAUACAGUCGGGGGAUGACGGUACCGGAAGAAUAAGCACCGGCUAACUACGUGCCAGCAGCCGCGGUAAUACGUAGGGUGCAAGCGUUAAUCGGAAUUACUGGGCGUAAAGCGUGCGCAGGCGGUUUGCUAAGACCGAUGUGAAAUCCCCGGGCUCAACCUGGGAACUGCAUUGGUGACUGGCAGGCUAGAGUAUGGCAGAGGGGGGUAGAAUUCCACGUGUAGCAGUGAAAUGCGUAGAGAUGUGGAGGAAUACCGAUGGCGAAGGCAGCCCCUGGGCCAAUACUGACGCUCAUGCACGAAAGCGUGGGGAGCAAACAGGAUUAGAUACCCUGGUAGUCCACGCCCUAAACGAUGUCAACUAGUUGUUGGGGAUUCAUUCCUUAGUAACGUAGCUAACGCGUGAAGUUGACCGCCUGGGGAGUACGGUCGCAAGAUUAAAACUUAAAUGAAUUGACGGGGUCAUAGCUGUUUCCU